UACGUAGGGGGCUAGCGUUGUCCGGAAUCAUUGGGCGUAAAGCGCGUGUAGGCGGCCCGGUAAGUCCGCUGUGAAAGUCGGGGGCUCAACCCUCGAAAGCCGGUGGAUACUGUCGGGCUCGAGUGCGGAAGAGGCGAGUGGAAUCCUGGUGUAGCGGUGAAAUGCGCAGAUAGUCAGGAGGAACACCGAUUGCGAAGGCAGCUCGCUGGGACGUUACUGACGCUGAGACGCGAAAGCGUGGGGAGCAAACAGG
rnacentral:rRNA from 1 species